GGAAGUAUAAAAGCAACUGAUCAAACUGACAGACUCAUAUGAUCCAUCUAACAUACAAAUAUACAUGAUGUAUCGAUAUGUGAAUAAGUGACAAGUUAACCAUUUAGUCUUAGUGCAAACGAUCCACGGCUAGGAGUAUUGGAAUGUGACAUAAUUGGCAGCUGAAAGAGGAGGCGACGGGAACAUAAUAUGCAGUGACGGGUCCCUGGCAGCAGCCACAGCUGAAAUGGUUGCGGCAGGCCCAGGCACACAAUUCCGGCAUGAGACUGGCAGCGCCCCACACCGGCAGUAGGUGACAAUGUUCCAAAUCGUCCAUUAUGCGCCCAACAUUUCGUGCACUUGCCUUGUAAGCUUCUGAACUGCUCAAGAUACAAGAAUGUGCUGUCAAAACUGCCACAAACCUGACAAUAUGUGAUUAUCAUUUAACAUAAAUACGACAAAUAUGUCAAGAUGGUCUCUGAAAUAUCUUACAAACUGGUUAUCAUUCACAGAGAGCAGCCGCAGUGAUUCUGCAUUAGCGCAUUCUUUCAGUACAAGUUUGAGAUCACUCUUAGAUAAGACAAGACAUUACUUACCAUCCCAGCCAUUCUUGGAAGAAUACUCCCUCCAGUCCAUUUUAGUUUGCAUAUAAGUUUUGUCCAAAGUCAAACAUUCACAGUGCCAAAUCAAUAUUAUUAGAUUCGUUAUGAGAUGUAGCUUCAUAGUAUAUAUAUUUGGUAUUGUAGAUGUUGAUAUUUUUUAAUAUAAAUUUGGUCAAACAUUGCAAUGUUUGACUAGACAAAAAUCUAAUACGCGGAGUAAAAGGGAGUACAAGACAAGAGUGAAGCACACCAUUUCGUCCCCAUAAUUUUUGCUACUAAUGGUCGUCAAACAUCUAGUAACUGAGUUAGGAAUCAAAUACAUAUGACAACAUUCAGCAGAAAAUUAUGUAAUGAUUUGUGCUCAGCUACUUAUACAGCAUUUUGAAUGUCAGGUUUGGCAGGAAGAGCAAAAACCAUUACUACUGUACUUGAGAAAACAGAAUGCCAGACAACAUGCUGUCCCAGUAGGAUAAGAGAUGUGUCUAAACGGUGACAAUGCAAAGAAUAUUGUACUUACCUUGAAAAGUUAAGAUCAGGGGAAGGAUGGACAGAUGAACAUGACUUCUUCCAUCUAAUUGUAAAACCAAGCUCUUGGCUGGCACUCGAAGAAGGGAUCAAAAAAUAAUUCUACUACCUACCUUGUAAAUGCAGCAAUGAAGGAGGAUGCAGCCAAAGCGAUUUACAGCACCGGAUCAUCACAAUUUCCACAAGGGCCGAGUCUUAUUUUUAGCUAAAUGCUAGUGAGGCUAGCAAUGUUUCAUGUAAUUAACUGUAGUUAAUACGGAGCGGUUAGUAGACGACAAGCCGUUUUGAUUCGCCUUGUCCGUUUGGUUGGAGGGUGGUUAGUUAGUAUGACAAAUGCAAUAAUUCAGAUGAAGACAUUUUGUUGUCCUAUACGGAAGGUUUCACGGAGAGCUAGCACAUAUUUUGUCAUCAUUGUGCCAUUUUCUUAGAUACAGAGGCAGGACAGUCCAAGAAACUCGUUAAGAGUACCAAACCUGAAAGAAUUUUAGUUGUGGUGAGGUUUUCUAAGAAAACACUAUGCGCAGAACUGGACUGAUCUUGUCUCUUAGACUCUUGCCAUGGCAUAGAUUAAGGAUUGUCUGAAAUUCAGAACACCAGUUAGGUUGGUGACCAUUUUUCGAAAUAGAUAGAUGCAUUACAGUGACAUGAUUGGAUUAUUCUUAUGACAUAGUACCAAGGAAGAAUUGAUGCCUUUGAUUUUUAGUUUCGUAGACGAUCAUGGCCUAACAGUUCAGGGACAGUGAAUUAUUAUGACACAGUAAUUCAUUCUUCUAACAAGGAAUAGGAGCAUCUCUAGUUUCACUCUCUCAAGGAAAAUGGGCAAGGCAAAUUAUUCUAAAUGUGAUAUAGUACUGCAUAACUCAUCUCACUGGAAAUUUAGCUGGUUUUGCUAUCAAACUGUACUAGAAUAUUGAAUGGAAAAUUUGUAAUUUUCAGCAGCCAAUCACGUCUGGUUUGUUAAUACUCCCUCCGUCCCAAAAUUACUGUACUAGAAAAUUGAAUGAAAAUCAUAUCAACACUGGAUCAUCCUCUCAUUUAUCCUGAGAACAAGGGUCAACUACACAUGCAAGAAUCAAUGGAAGAUCGUAUCAGCACUGCACUGCAUUCUCAACUAAACCAGCCCAAGAAGAAUAAGAAAGAAAUUGCAAGAGAAGAUCACAUGAUAAGGGGAAAAAGAAGACCUUUUUUACUCCGGCCAGCUCCGGGGUUAGCUGCAUUAGAGGCAGAGUGGGGGACCAAUGUGUGG
rnacentral:lncRNA from 1 species